rnacentral:tRNA from 1 species
GUCUGCGUAGCUUAACACUAAAGCAUAGCACUGAAGAUGCUAAGACGGCUGCUGCAUGCCCGAAGACA